UUCAGCAUUUAAAGGGAUAGAUAAUACAGUCUUGGUAAUGAAGAGCUAUGUUUGUUAUUUUUACUGUCAUAUAUGAAUGUAGUUUAUCAGAUAUACCUGAGCUGAUCUUUUUUUAAUGCUGAUAUAAAGUGGUGAUAUUAUUGGAUAUCAUGAGGUAUACCAAGGUUAUUAUUGAAUGAUACAGCGCAGAAAACUGACAUUGUAACUACAGUCAAAUCUUUGUGUAUUAUGCAUAAUCUUUGAAUAGUAUGUAAGCAUUCUACGUUUAAUCUUUAAGGGGUAUGGUGGCCAAGUGGUGUCUGUCUCAUCCCAGGGAUCAUGGGUUCAAGCCCUGCUUGGAUCAUGACCAUGUUUCUUCAUGUGACACCAGUACUGGUUGGUUUCAGGCAGCGGACUCAAAAGUGAUUAAUAUAAGUUGCAAGAACUUUUUUCACAGUCAAGCUUAAAUAAAUAUGUUUAAACUAAUAAUCUUUGCAUAAAAGAUGGCCACUUAAUAACCUUGAAUAUUGUCUCAUUUCCUCAUUAAACUGCCAGUGUUUUUUUGUUUGCACUUUGAUUAGAUAAUGGAGUAUUAAUUUCCGUGUUUGUGAUAGACUGUAUCUUAACAAUAAUUAACUUCAAGUGACUUGUACAUACAGGUUUGACUGUAGCUAGAAUUUCAUGUUGUUGUUUUUUUCUGUAGUUAUAAAUGAUCUCUAUCGUUGUUUUGAAGAAUUGGAUCUGUGCUGGUAGUAAUUUCUUUACUUAUAGUAUUAUCCUUUUAACUUACAAAUUUUUACUUUUUUAAUGAAAAGAAAAUUUCAUAAUGUUCAUGUUCUGUAAAAGUUUAGGGUUUUUUUGUAUGUGUUUUUCUUUAAUUGAGCCGCGUCAUGACAAAACCAACGUAAUGCGUUUGUGACCAGCAUGGAUCCAGACCAGCCUGCACAUCCGCGCAGUCUGAUCAGGAUCCAUGAUGUUCGCUUUAAAACCCUAUUACAAGUAGAGAAACUGAUAGCAAACAGCAAUGAUCCUGAUCAGACUGCGCGGAGGCACAGGCUGGUCUGGAUCAAACCCACUAUGUUGGUUUUGUCAUGACACGGCUCAAUUAGGAUUUAAGUAUUUGUUUGUUGUUUGGUUUUCUUACUAAGUUAGAUCUAAUACAUUGGUUAUGUAAGAAACAUUUUCUUUUUUAAGUUGAACAAUUCAAAAAUGUAAGUUGUUCUAUUAUUCUUUGUAUAGAAGUACAAAUAUAUAUCAAGUCAUCCAUUUAUUUUCUGCAGAUUUUGUGUAACACAUUUGUCUUGCAUUGGAACAAGAACUGUUCCUUGUUAAUGUAACAGUCAUUACUUAGAUUCCUAUUUAGAUCCAAAAUCAUUUCAGCUUUAAGUUUGCUGUAUUUCAUUCUUGUGUAAGCUUAAUUUUAUAGUUGGAUUUUUACCCUUAAUCUGCUAAAUUUGUGUAAUUGAUUUGCCCUGCUCCGAAUUUGGAACAGUCCAAAUACAAAUUUUGAGCCUGACAAAUUGCCUGGCUCUAUAAGAGCUGUCUAGUUAGCUCAGAAGGUAGAGUGUUUGACUGUGAAUCUGAUGACACAGGUUUGAUACCCAAACAGUGCAGGUCACUUUGAUUGUGAUUGAUCAUGAGAUUAUUUCUACGGCCAUUCACUCUCUACCCCUCUGCCCUUGCAUGUACAGAGGUUAGCAGUUCCUUACGAAAGUGAAGGCAUCUAGUUCUGGUAAACUGCUCGACAGCUUGCCCAGGAACGAUGCAGUGGAUCAACUGUGCUCUGGUUAAUUUAAAUUGGCUUACUGCUGUGAUCUGGAGGGUAAACUACCAACACCACCACCAAUGCCUGGCUCUAUACAGGUGGUAAACACUAUACAUUACUGGUUCAGCAGAUUCAGGGUUAAAAUUCUCCGAUCUUUUACAGUGGACAGUUCUUGAUUGAAAACAUGACAAAUCUGUUGCGCAAAUUUAUCUGGUUAAGAUAAAAAAAUGAUUUUUGGUGCUCUAGCAUUUUUGUUAUGUAAUAUCUACAUGUAUAUAUAUAUGAAUUUUCAUCCAUUCAAAUCAUGAAUACAAUGUAACAUAUCAGUUCAUUUCACAUUAUAACGGCUUGUAGUUUUUAGCCAUAUAUGUCAAGACUUUUUACAGUCUCAUUGUCUGGGUUCAAAUUCUCUCAGCAACUUCUUUCAUGGGAAACUACCUUACAGAAUGUCAGUUGUUAUCAAAAAUAUUUUAUAAACAAGAGCAAAAAUGAUGUCUUGAUUUUAAGUCAGAUGAUCAUGUUCAUGGAAAAAUUAAAACAUUAACGGAUUCUUAAAAAGGCCAACUUUUUUAAUACAUCACUCUACAAACAUAACUGUUAAUAAAGCAGAGACAUAGAUAUUUAUCUAUGUCUCUGAAUAAAGUAAAAUAACAAAUCAGUGUUCAUUAUAAAAUUAAAUAUGAACAUGAGCCCUCCAUGGUCGAGCUAUGAAGGUCACUGAUUGAACAAUUGGCUCCUCAUUGCUGUGGGUGUGAAUUUUACAAGGUAUUUCGAAUUCUUGAAUUUGGGGAAGCUAUUCAGCAGACUUACUGAAGGUCAUGAUUCACUCUGGUGCUUAUUUAUGCCUGAAAUAAUGCACGGAUUGGCAUCUUGGGUCUUCAUAUACACUUAAGACCCAACAGAAAAGAACACCUAUUGAAGAAAUCUUAAUCUUAUUUUGAUUCGGAAGACAGAGGCCUUUAUUUAUUUUAUCCUGUAAAAUGUUUUGCCCAAUUUUUAUUUUAUUUUUCAAUUACAAUUAUUGUUGUACAGAAUGCUUAUAUAUUUUUGAUUAUUGUUCAUCAUUUUUGCUAUUGAAAUAGGUACAUCAACAAUGUAAUAUUUGAGCUUAUUUCAGAAUUUUUGAAUUGAUUUCUUUCCUUUAUAUUGUUUGUUUAACUUUUUUUCAUUUCAUUAAUUAAAUCUAAGCAAUAUUUCUUGUCAUAAUUUUCACCCAUAUUGAUAAAUUUAUGGCAUAUUGUUUUUAUUGUGUUUGGUUUAAUAAAUGUUGAUCUGUCUUUAGAGUCUCGACAGCAUUAAACUUACCAAUUACAUCGUCAUCCAUAUAAGCAAUCAUUAUAAGUAACUCUUUAUAAAAGCUUUAUUGUAAUUUAUGGAGGAUAUUGAAAGAGUUUAAUAUGUUUAUAUUACGUGAGCCUUAUUUAUUCUACAAGUUUGGGGCGUCCGUGAUUAGAGUUGUUUAGGUUGUUGACUUGUCACUCACCCCUGUGGGUUCGAAUCCCGCAAAUUCAAACAACACAUCCAGUUCUUUCAUGUGAGGUUGUACUUCAGCUAGCUUAGGGAAUGUCAGUGGUUCUACUCAGGUGCCCGUUUGAGCAUGAAAUAAUGGACGUAGGGGUACCAUGGCACAGCACCAUGGACAAAAUAUAUUCAGAAUCAUUUUAGUAAAUUGAAAUAGUUCCAUUAAAUUGCUUUCUACCCUGAUGAAUUUGUGUAAUGGAUUUGCCCUGUUUUAAUUAUGAACAGUUUUAACUGUUUAUCCAAAGUUUUAAGGAAUUUUAAUGUCAAUAAUACAAAAAUUGAGCUACCAAAAAACAACAGUAAAAAGUCUGGACACACUGCGUGGAUAUGCAGGCUGGCCCACACUUGGGUCUGUCAGUUUUAGUGUUAAGAUAGGUCGAAUACAAUGAAAAGACAGGGUUGAAUGUUGUGUGACGAUAAAAUUUGUUUUUAAAAUAUUGUAUGUUUUUCAAGUUAAUAUAACUAAAGUAAAUACUCAAACAUUACCAGGUGUUCAUUUGUUAGCUUGAAAAUGUUCAAAUAUAAAUGUUUAUAGUACUGCACAGUAACAUCGUUUGUAACUAGAUAAUCAUGAUGUUUAUGUAGUUUUAUAUACAUUGUUGGUUUCAAUAGGUGAAAAAAAUCUCAGUUUUUUCUGUAAAAAGGGAUUUGCUGUAUUUUAAAUAAGAUAUAAAGAUUUCAGACAGGUUUUAUGGCCAUAUAUAAAUGGUUGUUUGCAUUUAACCUGAGCCACUAUGCAAACAACCAAUAUAUACGACCAUAUAAUCUGCUAAUAAUAUACAUUUACAUGUUUACUAUAUCAGAUAUAUCAUAGCCCAUUCAGUGUGUACAUGUACAAUGUACGUAAUGUUUAAAUAAUGUAGACUAGGUUAUUUAUUAGAUAAUAAUCAAUUUAAACAUGUUAUGGAAAAAUAUAAGGUCUGAGUGUCCCAUACAUGUACUUGUGUAUCUUAGUUAACAUUGUAUAUUUACAAUAUUUCUUCAUUUAUAAUACUAUUAUUAAUUUCUAAGUUAUCAUUCUUCAUGUUUAUUUAUUUCAUUUUACUUUAGUUAGGUUUAAAGUGUAUUAUUUCUGCUUUACUGGUACCAAAUAAUGUUAUAAUAGUAUUUCUAUGUUACUUGUACCAAAAUAAAGUAUCAAUUAGAGCUUGAACCAAAAGUAAUAAAUCUUCACCAACGUAUGGAACAUAGCUGUAUUUCAAAAUAUCGCACUUGUUUUGGUACAUGCAUCUGCAUAGAGUAAGUUAUUAAACAUUGGUAAAGGAGUAGCCUUUAUCAUCAGUAUUAAGCCAAUCUAGCAUGCACAUCGGAUUCCACGCUAUCUGACCAGGCUUUAUAUAUUGUUAAAAAUUCUAAAUUUGUAUUUUACAACUUUGAUAUUCAAAUCCCUUUAUUUUCGGAUGGACUGUUCCAAAUUCAAACAAGACAUUCAGUACAUAUAAACAACAGGUUAAAGAUUAUAGAAAGACAAGUUGUCUUUUAUUCAAAUUUAGCAUAGAAGUGGAAAAGUACUUAGACUUUAUUUACAUAGAUUUUUUUUAUUUUUAUAGGUUAUUUUUAUGCAAGCAAAAUGUUAACAAAUAAGAUUCCCAUGAUUUUUCCAGUUGAUAUGAAAGUAGGCAAAUUCUUUGGAGCGGGGAAAUCUAAUAAACAAACUGGGCAGAAUAAACGGAUCUAGAGUCUCACAUGGCUCGUUUACCUUUUCCUACUUGUACCUUACAAUCUAAAUUGUCACAAAUAAAAUAAUUGAUCUAGUCUAAGUCAUCCAGACGUUUGCAUUUUACUUCCCGAAACAUCUGGAUGAUACAGACUACAAGCAAACCCUUUUGCCGACAAGUUGUACAAACACAAAUGUUAAAAUUAAAAUUUUCCUGUUGUCACUGGAGGGUUUUUAUUCUUUCUAGAAGUAUUUAUUUUUCAACUAGUGCUAUAUCUUGUUGUAAAUACAAAAACGUCUUUCUUAUUUCGUUUCUUUUUUCUUUCAAAACACUGCCAGGUUUUUGGAAGGUAGACCGAGUGUGUUUACUAAUUCAUUAGACACGAGGUAAAAUUUUAACACUGGAAUUACUUAGGUACUUAUGUUCAGCAAGAAUUGUUCAUAUUUUUAUUAUUGUGAUUAGGUUACAUAAAGGCUUGUAACCAGGCUAGAAAUUGUCUUCUUUUAGGCAAGCCUGUAGGGAAAUAUAAGGGAAGCCUGUACGGAGAUUUAAGGCAAGCCUGACGUAACUUUUAAGGCAAAACUCUAGUGAGAUUUAAAUUGAAAUCUUUCCUCCAUUUUUGUUUUUAAGUCACCCUGAAAAGCAUGUUACUUUGUAAAGUCUGUAAAUUACUAUUAGUUCGGAUGCAUUUUAUUUUUUGUGUACAUGUAUAUGCUUUGAUUAUAUUUUGUGUAGUUGUUGAGAAAAAGAUAAUUGUUAUAAAUAUAUAUAUUUUUGGUGAGACGUUCUCAAUAAUAAUGAUGUUGUAUGUUAGAAAAUGUUCUAAUGAAGGACAUUGUCUCAGGAUAAAUUUUGAUGAUUUAAAAUA